rnacentral:rRNA from 1 species
ACACUGUACGAGUUUGAUCCUGGCUCAGAUCAACGCUGGCGGCGUGCCUCAGACAUGCAAGUCGAACGAUUAAAGCUCUCUUCGGAGAGUGUAUAGAGUGGCGCACGGGUGAGUAACACGUAAGUAAUCUACCCUCGAGUGGGGAAUAACAACCGGAAACGGUUGCUAAUACCGCAUAAUGCAGCGGCACCGCAAGGUGACAGUUGUUAAAGAUUUAUCGCUUGAGGAGGAGCUUGCGGCAGAUUAGCUAGUUGGUAGGGUAACGGCUUACCAAGGCUACGAUCUGUAACCGGUCUAAGAGGACGGUCGGUCACACUGACACUGAAUAACGGGUCAGACUCCUACGGGAGGCAGCAGUCGGGAAUUUUGGGCAAUGGGCGAAAGCCUGACCCAGCAACGCCGCGUGAAGGAUGAAGUAUUUCGGUAUGUAAACUUCGAAAGAAUAGGAAGAAUUAAUGACGGUACUAUUUAUAAGGUCCGGCUAACUACGUG